rnacentral:rRNA from 1 species
GCCAGACUCCUACGGGAGGCAGCAGUAGGGAAUCUUUCACAAUGGGCGAAAGCCUGAUGGAGCAACGCCGCGUGAAGGAAGAAGGCUUUCGGGUUGUAAACUUCUUUUGACUGGGAAGAGUAGAAGACGGUACCUGUCGAAUAAGCCACGGCUAACUACGUGCCAGCAGCCGCGGUAAUACGGAGGGUGCAAGCGUUACUCGGAAUCACUGGGCGUAAAGAGCGCGUAGGCGGGAUAGCAAGUCAGAUGUGAAAUCCUAUGGCUUAACCAUAGAACUGCAUUUGAAACUGUUAUUCUAGAGUAUGGGAGAGGUAGGUGGAAUUCUUGGUGUAGGGGUAAAAUCCGUAGAGAUCAAGAGGAAUACUCAUUGCGAAGGCGACCUGCUAGAACAUAACUGACGCUGAUGCGCGAAAGCGUGGGGAGCAAACAGGAUUAGAUACCCCAGUA